GUGGGGAAUAUUGGGCAAUGGGCGCAAGCCUGACCCAGCAACGCCGCGUGAGGGAAGAAGGUCUUCGGAUUGUAAACCUCUGUCCUAUGUGACGAAGGAAGUGACGGUAGCAUAGGAGGAAGCCCCGGCUAACUACGUGCCAGCAGCCGCGGUAAUACGUAGGGGGCGAGCGUUGUCCGGAAUUACUGGGCGUAAAGGGUGCGUAGGUGGCACUUUAAGUUGGAUGUGAAAUCCCCGUGCUUAACAUGGGAGCUGCAUCCAAUACUGGAGAGCUAGAGUGCAGGAGAGGUAAGCGGAAUUCCUAGUGUAGCGGUGAAAUGCGUAGAUAUUAGGAGGAACACCAGUGGCGAAGGCGGCUUACUGGACUGUAACUGACACUGAGGCACGAAAGCGUGGGGAGCAAACAGG
rnacentral:rRNA from 1 species